AAGUUAGAAGUGAAACUUGAAGUAGCUAAACAUAAUAUAUUUCAAGCUGCGACAUUUACGUAGAGAAAAUAUUCUCAAAGAUAAGCAGGGAAAAUGGAUGAAGUUCUGUGUCAUGGCCUUCACAGAUUUAAAUUUAUAAGAUAAAAUUUACUUAGAAAAAACUCCAGGGAGUAAUUCUGACAGACAAAAUUUUGCUGCAUUACAGGUCUACUGAAACCACUUUACUUGGAGCAUAGCAUCUUUUUUUUAGUGUUCUUCUAACAACAUUUGAUUAUCUGGAGCAUUCCUCUUACUAAUGAGUGAGUAU